UUCUAGAUUUGUUGUUUGAAAUGCCUGUUUGUAUCGCAUUUGGAUGUGCAAACAGAACUAAGUGCAAAACUGAGAGCCGGUCGACUACCUCUACUUCCAAUGCUUCCAAUUCCAAAAUAUCAUUUCACAGGAUUCCUGGUAAAGAACCUCAGCGUAGUUCCUGGCUUCAGGCACUGAGACGAGCUAAUUAUAAUCCUGCAAAUGAUGCUGAUGCUAGGGUCUGCUCCUGUCAUUUUACUGAUUCUGAUUUUUAUUUUACCAAUGAGGGCCUUAGAAAAAUCAAGAAGAAUGCUGUCCCCUCAGUUUUCCCAGCUUUCCCUAAGAUGAAAAACUUGAAGAAAUUGGCAAAAAUGAAGGACUCGCCAACGGACUCGCAGAAGGGAGUAUGCUUUCAAUAGCUAAACAA
rnacentral:lncRNA from 1 species